rnacentral:rRNA from 1 species
UACAGAGGGGGCAAGCGUUAUUCGGAAUUAUUGGGCGUAAAGGGCGCGUAGGCGGCCUGGCAAGUGGAAGGUGAAAUCCCUCGGCUUAACCGAGGAACUGCCCUCCAAACUGCUUGGCUUGAGUCCGGGAGAGGUGAGUGGAAUUCCCAGUGUAGCGGUGAAAUGCGUAGAUAUUGGGAGGAACACCGGUGGCGAAGGCGGUGGUCUGGGCCGGAACUGACGCUGAGGAGCGAAAGCGUGGGGAGCGAACAGG